CUGAGAGGGUGAACGGCCACAUUGGGACUGAGACACGGCCCAAACUCCUACGGGAGGCAGCAGUGGGGAAAUAUUGCACAAUGGGGGAAACCCUGAUGCAGCGACGCCGCGUGAGCGAAGAAGUAUUUCGGUAUGUCAAAGCUCUAUCAGCAGGGAAGAAAAUGACGGUACCUGACUAAGAAGCCCCGGCUAACUACGUGCCAGC
rnacentral:rRNA from 1 species